CAACUAUAUCACGUUGAAACACAGGUUUUCGUAAGAUCACCGGAGUUAAGCAACGUCGAGCCUGGUCAGUACCGAGGUUGGUGGUUGUUUGGGAAUACCAGAUGCUGUAAG